UAAAGGAAGCUGAGGCUCAGAAAAGUUGAAAUACUUGACCAAAGUCAUGCAGAGAGUUUGUGAGAGAACUCCUGGUUCAUGGCUAUUCUCAACAGCCUUGAUGUUCUAUGAGAAGCAGGAUGUGGUCAAAAAGGUUGCAAGAAAGUGAGAAAACCACCUCAUGAUGGUGCCUGGGCACAUCAGUACUCUUGCAGCUUGAAAUUGAGAUGAGCCAUUGAUUUUCCAUGGGUUGAGCACAUGAUACCAUCAGCUUCUUCUGUUUCAGAGCUAUGUUUCCCAGUGGGCUGCCACAUCUUUGGGUUUCCAGUACUUGGAAUUUUGCUUUCCAGUUGCAGAGCUAAGAAGCCAAUUCACAUUCCAUCGUUGUCCCAAAGUCUUUUUCCUAUUUUGAAUGCCCCAUCUUGUCUGGAUUUAUCAAGGGUCCACAGAUUUACAACUUGAGGUGGCCUGCACCAGACCCACGGGGCAAUAACAGUCUUCCAUUGAAUUCUUUAGCAGUUUCUACAAUUGCAUAAGUUAACAAGAUCAACCUUGCUGGGAAAUGAACAAGCGACCAGUUUUGUAGGCUCCUACCAGUGAAAGCCUCCUCACAACUCUCUUCUUCUCCCCAAGGACUGCGUGCAAUUCUACUUGGAGAUCUUCAUAACACCUUAAGGGAAAAAUCCUUUUUGAAAGAAAAACAAGUCUGGGUGGUGCUUGAAAAUUCAGAAGGCAGCUAGAAACUCUGCCAAUUACAACUGGUGAUUGCUGAGUUCUGGAGACAGACUGGGCUUCUGCUUUCUUUUGGUGGAGGUGUCUGCUUGCAGAAAAUUUAUGUUCUGGGAUUUACAACUUCAGGGAGACAAAGGAAACUCCAGCUCAUCUCCCACAUCAUUGAUUGAGAGGACCAUUUUCUGACUGUCUGCACACUGGUGCUUCGUGAACCCUGGAUGCUACAGUCUCUGGCCACAGCACUAAAUGUAUGCUGAGAUCUGGCUUCACGGUCG
rnacentral:lncRNA from 10 species